AGGCCCGGCCCUGAAAUAUUUUGGACCAGAAGCUCAAAAAUAUUGAAAGCUAAAAAUGUAGCCUGAUCUCAUCGAACCUGUGACCUCGUAGGAUAAGUGCAAGACAUAUACCAACAGAGCUACACAAGAUUUUGUUAUUCUACGGCCGGAAAUUUACUUAACAUUUAUCAGGCCGGAAGCACAUGCUUCCAUUGCUUCCCCUCA
rnacentral:lncRNA from 1 species